ensembl:snRNA U6 U6 spliceosomal RNA
GUGCUCACUUUGGCAGCUCAUAUACUAAUAUUAGAAAGAUAAAGAGAAGAUUAGCAUGGCCUAUACACAAGAAUGACACUUAAAUUUGUCAAGUGUUCUAUAGUUUU